rnacentral:rRNA from 2 species
UGCAUAUCCCAAAAGCGGAGGAAAAGAAACUAACAAGGAUUCCCCUAGUAACUGCGAGUGAAGCGGGAAAAGCUCAAAUUUAAAAUCUGGUGGUCUUUGGCCAUCCGAGUUGUAAUCUAGAGAAGUGUUAUCCGCGYUGGACCGUGUACAAGUCCCCUGGAAUGGGGCGUCAUAGAGGGUGAGAAUCCCGUCUUUGACACGGACUACCAGGGCUUUGUGAUGCACUCUCAAAGAGUCGAGUUGUUUGGGAAUGCAGCUCAAAAUGGGUGGUAAAUUCCAUCUAAAGCUAAAUAUUGGCGAGAGACCGAUAGCGAACAAGUACCGUGAGGGAAAGAUGAAAAGAACUUUGGAAAGAGAGUUAAACAGUACGUGAAAUUGUUGAAAGGGAAACGCUUGAAGUCAGUCGCGUCUGCCAGGGAUCAACCUUACUUUUGUGAGGCGUACUUCCUGGUUGAUGGGUCAGCAUCAGUUUUGGUCGCUGGAYAAAGGUCAGAGAAAUGUGGCACCUUCGGGUGUGUUAUAGUCUUUGAUCAGAUACAGUGGCUGGGACUGAGGAACUCAGCGCCGCAAGGCUGUCUUAGGAUGCUGGCAAAAUGGCUUUAAUCGACCCGUCUUGAAACACGGACCAAAGGGAGUCA